UACGUAGGGGGCAAGCGUUGUCCGGAUUUAUUGGGCGUAAAGAGCGUGUAGGCGGCCAGUUAGGUCCGUUGUGAAAACUCGAGGCUCAACCUCGAGACGCCGAUGGAAACCAACUGGCUAGAGUCCGGAAGAGGAGAGUGGAAUUCCCGGUGUAGCGGUGAAAUGACGCAGAUAUCGGGAAGAACACCCGUGGCUAAGGCGGCUCUCUAGUACGGUACUGACGCUGAGACGCGAAAGCGUGGGGAGCGAACAGG
rnacentral:rRNA from 1 species